UUUGAGUUGUGUUCAAUCAUCACACCAGAAAAAUGGGAAGUGAGGAUCUGAGAUUGUUUGAAUUGAACACAGGAGCUAAGAUUCCAUCUGUUGGUUUAGGCACUUGGCUUGCUGCACCUGGUGUUGUCUAUGAUGCUAUAUCCACUGCUGUCAAUGUUUCUUUCUUUCUUUUUAAUUUUUCAUUCCAUUAUUUUAUUGCAUCAUGUUUUGUUUGUAUUAUUACAUCAUGUUUUGUUUUUAUUAUUACUAUUAUUGUAAAUUUAUGGUUUUGGAAUUAUUAUUAUUAUGUUCAUGCAGGUUGGUUAUCGUCAUAUAGAUUGUGCUCAAAUUUAUGGCAAUGAAAAGGAGGUCAGUUUUGUUUUUUUCUUUUCUUUCAAAUAAACAUAUAUGAUAUGAUGACAUGUGUUUAUGUUUAUGAUCAUCAUAUUUAUGUGUCACAAGAAUAAUUUUUAGAUUAACAUCGACCUCAUGUUGUUAAUGAGCUCCACCAAAGGACAAAUUGUUCGGGAUAACUCAAGUUCGAUUCCUGGUGAAACAAUUCUUGAUCAAACUUUAUUUACCUCCCGACCGAACUCCGGAUUAGUGGGUCCUUUUCCCCAAGAACCGGAGGGUUAACACCAAAAGAAAAGAAUAAUUUUAGAUUAAUUAAUUUUAUUGUUUUCAGAUUCAAGUAGGAGAUAAUCAGUAGUUGGACUCAAGUGGUUAAUUGGUUUCAGUUAAUUAAGGUAAGGUCAAUUGGCAGCACCCGAGUUUGAUCCCUGACUAGAACAAUUGUGGGUCAAAUAUUACUUGAAUUUAGAACUACUGAUCUUUCUUAUAGGAACCGGAGGAUUAAAGAAAAAUAAUUCAAGUACAAGAUGAAAAUAAUUGAAUGUAUUUGACAGAAAGGAUUUAGAGGAAGACCUAGGAAAACUAUUAGAGAAACCAUUAGAAAGGAUUUAGAGGUCAAUGAGUUGGAUCCAAAUUUGAUGUAUGAUAGAACACUAUGACGUCAUUUGAUCCAUGUAGCCGAUCCCACUUAGUGGGAUAAGGCUUGGUUGUUGUUGUUGUUGUAUUUGACAGAACUUCCCCUGCAUCUUGUGCUAGACAAGAGAAGCCAAGAACACUUUUUAGUUUGUUUUUGUCUCUUUGAUUUUAAUGAUGAAAAUUUAAAGCUUUUGCUGAAUUUAUGGUUGGCAGCUAGUCAGUUAUCUUACCUUUUUAGUCUGAAUUGAAUCCGGAAAUCGGAGUUUAAAACACUUAUGCUAGACCACGGUGGUUAGUUAUCUUACUUUGAUAGUGAACAAUGAUUAAAAAUAUGAAAUACAGUUUAAUAGUUUAUGAUUAAUUUUUUAAGAAACUUAGGAAUAUAAAUAAUUUGAACCUCUUGUAUACAGAACAAAGAAAAUAUAUUUUGUUUAUUACAACAACAACAACCAAUGUUAUCCCACUAAGUAGGGUCGGCUACAUGAAUCAAACGACGCCAUAGUGUUCUAUCCAAAACCAUAUUUUUAUCCAAAUACAGUCCUUAGUUGAAGAAGAUAGAAUGUGUCUUGACAUACUGUUUCUGCUUCGAUGAUGAUGAUCAUUGGUGAUGUUGGGAUAUCUGCAGACUGCAAAAACACUCUAAUGCCUUAAGUUAGCAAGAAGGUAUGAAGGUGCAAAGAGAAUAUGAUUAGAACCUUAAUAGGCUUGGUUGACUAGUAACAAUACCAUAAACCAAAUUGCAUAUUUGCAUAUGUAUAAAAGAAGCAAAAUCAGUAUAAACAUCUCCAUAACCACUUAUAACUUAUAAGGACUUUUUUUGGCAGUUAAGGAUCAAAUACCAUUGAGAAGGUCCAAUAAGUCAAAAUCUAAUCCGAACCGGGGUUUAAUUCAUCUGCCAAAGUUCAUUCAAGAGAGUAGUUCUGUUACAUUACACCAUCAUCUUUUUUCCCUUUUCUGGGGCUACUUGACGCUCUUUUUUUGUCUUUUUCUUUCUGAGCAAGCAUUCGGUAGAAUAAAGAGCUAACAAUUAACAAAUUUUAUGCCAUACUAUAGUUGCAAUUCAUUCAGUAUGUUGAUUGUAGAAUUUGAAUUUAUUUUGUUAGAUAUUUUAUAAUCAUUUUGUUUGUACACUGUUGUGGUAAUGUUUCUAUCUGUUAACAUUUUGUAAAUGUUAUGUAGAUUGGUGAUGCCUUGAAGAAGUUGUUUGCUAAUGGAGUAGUUAAGCGUGAAGAGAUGUGGAUCACGUCCAAGCUAUGGUUUGUCCUUUUAUUACUAACAGAGUUGUUAAGCGUAUAUUAUUGUUUAGAUGUUUGAACAAAUUUAUAAAAAGAAAUGACUUUUUCAACAGCAAAGUCUACAGACAACUGGGUUUUGUUUUAACUGCUGUUGAAAAUUUGUUCUUGAACAUGGUUAGAUAUAGUGUUAAUUGGGUUUAGUUCGUAUACAUUGUCCGUGUAGACUGUUAAUCAAAAGUAAUCAUCAAAUCAUAAAAAAGGUUUUACUUUAAUAGUAACUACUUCUUAAGUCACACAUAUGAUUGGUUGUGAUUUGUUGAUAGCGACACUGUAUCAAAAUUGAACUGUUAUCAAUUUUCUGCUCACGAUUGCAUUUUUAAGGUGUACUGAUCACUUGCCAGAAGACGUCCCAAAGGCAUUUGAUAGAACUUUACGCGAUCUGCAGCUGGACUAUCUUGAUCUCUACCUUGUAUGUAAAUGACAAAUUAAUUUCUUCCUACAUCAGAUCCUAUUAUGUUCGCAAGUUAUAGUGUCACUGAAGUUGUGUUCUUAAUUCUUAUUAUUAAAAAUUCCUUUUUCAUAUGUCUGUAUUCUACUAGAUUCACUGGCCAGUGAGCAUAAAAAAUGGACAUCUUACAAAACCUGACAUACCAAGCACAUGGAAAGCAAUGGAGGCACUCUAUGAUUCCGGAAAGGCUCGAGCUAUAGGAGUCAGCAAUUUCUCUGUAAAGAAGCUUCAGGAUCUGUUGGAUGUGGGACGUGUGCCUCCAGCCGUUAACCAAGUGGAAUUGCAUCCUCAAUUGCAGCAGCCAAAUUUACAUACUUUCUGUAAAUCCAAGGGAGUGCACUUAUCUGUGAGUAUGCAAAUUUUAUGUCUUGUAUGAUAAUUACUUUAGUUGCAUAUGUCUUAAUAUAAAGAACUUAAAAGGGAUUAUUCAUAUUAUCAUGGUUAUCAGUAUGAUACAUGCGAGCCAUAUCUCGGUUUGAUAUAAAAUUGAACCCAAUCAAUAUGAAUCUCCAGUAUGUAUCUGUUAGAACUAAUCACAUGGAAAACAUGCUCUUGUGAUUAGUUGCAAACAGGAUUGGAAUUAGGAAUCACAUUAAUUUGUAUUUUAGUAAAUUCAUUUUUAAUAGUCGUGUGUAGUUUGAUUAGACGCACAAAAAUUACAGAUAAUUACAUGGUAAGGCUCCUCUGCAUUUUUCUAGACUGCGUUCUUUUUAGUUCUUGCGCAUAUUUUGGUUUCCAUCUGUGCCAUAACCAGCUGACCCCCUUUUCCAGUGUGCGCCACCUCCAGAUCUGCACAUGAGAGUGUGUGCACCCACCUCCAGCUACCAGCACCAGCUGUUGCAAAAUGCCCUCUUGCGAAACAAUGCACGAGGAGAAGGGGGAUGACUUAGAAAUAAUCAAACCCGAACUUGUUGUAACUAUUGAAACAUCUUUAGCCGCCCAAUAUCAAACCGAAGUUAAUCAGCUUCAUCGCAAAGUUGUGAGUGUUGCUUAGGUCAACGCCUUUGACACAGCCAACAAGUUUCCCUUUCGUCUGCAUAGUAUAAUGAGUACCUCAAGGUCAAGGCACAAAAUCGAAUCACCACACAAGUUGCCAGCUGUCACUGUUGAUUAUAUCGGUAAUCCUGUUACCUUUGUUUCACAGUCCUCUUCAAUUGGACCUGGACCCUUGACUCAGGCACCUCUGAUCAUAUGUUUCGUAGCAAAUGGUUUUUCUCCGAUCGAACUUAUAUGACCACACUCCCUAGUGUUACUUUGGAAAAGGGAUCACAAUCCAAAUGUGAAGGCAUUGGCCAAACUAUCCCUUUACACACACUUACUUUGGACUCUGUGCUUUACGUUCCCGAUUGUCCAUGCAAUUUAAUAUCCGCACGUAAACUCACUCAUGCCCUACCUUACUCUGUUACUAGGAAGACAAUUAGAGCAGGGCAUGAGUCUCGCAACUUGUAUUACCUUUCGGCACCUACGCCGCCUAUUGCUUGUUCAGCCAUUGAAUCUCCACCUGUUGUUCACCAACAUUUGGGGCAUCCUAGCCUUGAAAAGUCGCAUCUUAUGGUUCCGAGUCUCUCAAAAGUGUCUACCUUAAAGUGUGAGUCAUAUCAGUUCGGAAAACAUACGAGGAAUUCCUUUUGCGAUAGAGUCAAUAAUCGUUUAUUGACUCUAGUCGUCCUGUUUCAUUCCAAUGAAUUACUAUCUGAACUUAAGCCACUUUUUGUUGUCAACUGUGUAGAAUUAAUCACUUUUGUUUCAUCAUUUGAUCUAUGACUUGAAUCUUAAACUAUAUUAAGGUUCGUCUAUGAUACAUCAACUUAUUAUAUAUUUGUAAUUGAUUUUUACUUAAAAAUAUCUUAUUGUUAUUAAUAAUGUAUUUUAUUAUUCAUAAUAAGUUUAUAUUCAAGUAAGGUCGAAUAGGAUCUUAUUUAAUAACAAAUGGAUAUAUGGCAGACAUUUUAUAGCUCCUUGAGUAAAACUUUAGAAAGUUUAUAUGAUUAUGAACAUCAAUUUUGAUGACUACUUAUCCCUAUCAAUGUUCUUAUUCAGGCUUAUUCACCACUAGGCAAAGGACUUGAGAGCAAUAUUCUUAAAAAUCCGGUUCUGCACACGACUGCUGAGAAAUUAGGGAAGACUCCGGCCCAAAUAGCCCUUCGAUGGGGACUACAAAUGGGUCACAGUGUACUUCCAAAGAGCACAAAUACAGCGAGGAUUAAAGAAAACAUUGAUAUAUUUGACUGGUCUAUACCAGAAGAUUUGCUAGCUAACUUCAAUGAAUUUCAGCAGGCACGUCAUUUCAUGCAAUCUUAUUGUCACUUUAUAUGGUUGAAUUCCAAAAAGAUGUUAAUUUAUAUUUCUUAUAGCAUUUUAAUUGAUACACAAGCAUGACAUUUUAAAAUCAGUCUAUGUGCAAAGGUCUAUAUACCAAUUAAAAAUGUUCUAGACUUAAAUGACUUUUCUAGUAUACAAAAAAUUUGUCUUUGUUGAUUGGUUCGUUGUUUGGUUUUAAUCCCUCAGUAAAUUUGAUUUGAUUAGAUUCAUGUUGAAUUAGUCCCUCAAUAAAAUUGAUGUCAUGGUUUGGGGACUAAAUCAAUAUAAUUCAGAUAUUACAAGAACUAAUUCAAAAUGGUUCAAAUAUUGCAAGGACUAUAAUCAAAACAACGAAGAUCAAAAUAAAAUAUUCCUAUUUUCAUGGAUUAGAACCAGCAAUAUUUCUUUUUAAGAGGACAAAAACCAAAAUAGAUGUAUAUUAUAGGAACUAACAAAUUAUUUAAGUCAUAGUUUCAUUUCAACUUUCUCAUUUACCGAUGCAGGAAAGAGUAGUUCCAGGCGAACAAUUUGUUAGUCAGACAUCUCCUGGUUACAAAACAAUUGCAGAACUCUGGGAUGAAGAGUAAGAAACAAGUUCCAUAUGGGCUACUGCUUUUCCACUGUUGAAUAAUCUGACUUUUUUGUGACUGUUGUAAUAAUAUAUAAUGUAUUCAUAAUAUGGGAAAUAGGAUGUGUUAUUGAGGAUUUGGUUUUGAUAUUCAAUAAGAGAAUUGUAAUUUAGGGUCUACAUGGAAACAACAUAUGACAUGUUUAUAAACUGUUUUCUGAAAUGUCAUCGAGUUUAUGGUUUAAACAUUUCCCUAAUAUGAUUCGCAAGUCUCAAAAGUCCCAACCAUCAAGCCAGCUUUAUGAAUUCCCAUAAUUACUUACAUAUAUUACCUAUAGUAUAAACCAAGUCUCGACAUCACCAAAGAAAUUCAAACCUAUAAUGUAUUGAACACUGGAGCUAAGAUUCCUUCUGUUGGUUUAGAGACAUGGCUUGCUACACCUGGUGUUGUCUACGAUGCAACAUCCACUGCUAUUAAUUUCCUAGCUUUCAACGGGUUAGAAUACUCUAAUGAACGAAAACCAUCACCGUUAGAAUCCUUCACAACAUGAGUAGCCUUGGAAAAGGGUAUUCAUGUUGUGAAGGAUUUUGAUGAUGACGGUUCUCAUUCAGUAGAGUAAUCGAACCCAGUUGCAUGAAUGAAAACUAUGAGGUAGUUUGUGAUUGUUGGGAAACCCAUGUUUUGUUUGUUUGUAUAGAAGUGUUAAAGGUGUUUUACUUGGUGGUGUUGAUCACUUGUUUAGAGAAAUGCCUUUUUUUUAGACUAUUACUUUUCUCACUUUGCCUUCUCGCACGCCCUGCAAAAUUUCCAAAAAUACCCCUGUAAUCCGGACCAGAUUGUUAGUGAUUUUCAGGAAAUUGAAUCCGGACCAGAUGUUAUGUGCUUUUCUGUGUCUUUCUUUAAUGUCAAGGGUCUCUGUUGACCAUUAUAUGAACCCCACACAAGCUGCAAUGCUAUUGCAGGGUUCAUAUGAACGGUUAACAAUGACCAUGACACCACUGACACCCCUAAAAAACUAAAAAUAUUUGAAGAAAAUGGAAGAAAAGAGGUGAAGUGAAGAAUGAAGGUAUUUGUUGAAGAUGGAAGCCUAUUUAUAGCCUAAAAUAAGUCCUAGGUCAUUACUAUAGUCAAUGAAAAUGUGUUAGUGAUUGUAACCGUCCAAACCCACAUUAAUGGCUCUCUUUCAAAAGAAUCCAAUGCUGAAACUUUCCGGAUUUUACAUUCCGGAACGCCCUUAGCCCUACAAGAAGUGUCAACUUUUCCCUCGUUCACCAUCAUCGCAUUAAUCCGUAAAAUAUAUUCCGGAAAACAUAUGUGCAUUCCAUAUUUUAUAUUCCGGAAUGCAUCAGUCAUGGUCGGUGGUCUGCACCACACGUUUUUGUCGGUGGUCAAGUAAAAAAAAACGCGUUUUACCACCAUUUUUGACUGCAUUUAUGGCAUCCCAACCGUUUUUGACCCACCCCUCCCUAUAAAUAGCCUUCCAAACCCCACCAUUUCUCACACUAUCCUCUCCCACCCUCUCCUCCUCUUCUUCCUUCUACAACCAUGGUUUACCAUCAUUGGCUUUCAUGGAUAAGGGCCUCGUUGAAAACUUUCAGGGUUUGUAUGAACGGUCAAUGAGGAUGGAACCGCGCUGCAACGAAGUGCGGUUCAUCUGAGAGUCAUGUGGGUCAGUGUGGUUCUUAGCUUGGCCUGUCUGGGCGUAAGUUUGAGCACCCCCCAUCUCCCUCAGGGGCAUUGUUCUCUUCUUCCCACCCUCCUCUUCCCUCCUCCUCCGGUUGCCCUCGAACAGAGAAACUACUGCUAAGUCCUAUCACAUAGCAGUGGUUAGGCUCUUAGGAGAUUAGAAAUAGAUUUAGGAUCUUAUGUAAUAAGCUUAAAAAGCUUGAAAAUUAUUGUAAUGUAUUGUUUAUAUAUUAAUAAAAUGAGUUGUUUUUAUGUUUGUGUCUUUUUAUUUAUGUUUUUUUAUUUUAUUUACGAAUUGCAAAAGUUCUGGUAAAACAUUAUUCCGUAUUUUAAAAUCUGGAAACAUCUGCAAAAUUCUAACAAUACAAUCCGGAAAAAGAAAUCCGGACUAGGGAUAAAAUUGAAAGAAAAAAAAAAUAAGGCGCGCGAGGAAAGGGUGGGAAAAGUAAAACUCGUUUUUUUUUUUUUUUUUUUUUUUUUUAAAUUUAUUUUUUAUGAUGCUUGCUUUAUCAGAAAGGAAGAAAGAAUUGGAGAAUCUAGUAGUAUUGGGGGUAUUGGGGGUAUUGGGGAGAAUCAGAUACCAAUUUCAAUCUAUGAGCCAACUAUUUGGGAUCAAAACAAAGGCAUAAACAUGUUAUGUUUGUUUGAGGUAUCAAUUCAAAUUCUCUUACCACCCAACUUAUUGUGUUGUUUACGAUGCAAUUUCCACUGUUGACAACGUUUGUUUCCGUGUUUAUCAUCAUCAUAUUUGUGUCACAAGAAUGAUUUUAGAUUAAUUAAUUAUAGUAAUAAUGUUUUGGAUAAGCCAUCAGAGGUUGGAAAAAGAUAAUAAAGAAAAAUUAUGUAGGAAUUAGAGUAAUAAUAUUUACUCUAAUUAGAAAUUAGAGUAAUUAUGUAGAAAUUAUGUAGAAUUUGGAAUACCAUUUUGGAUUUGAGAAGGGAGACAAGCUCAACUACUAUCUUACAAUUGAAAUGAGUUUCCUCAAUUAAGAAAAUAGAAUUGAAUACAUGAAUAUCAUGUUGCUGCUUUUCUUAUAUCUCUGCAGAUGUGGAGCCAUGAAAGGCUGCAAUGAAUGUGAAUAGUGUUGAAAAUAGUCCAAUACAAGACGUGAAACAGAAUUUUCAAUACUCAUUUUUGUUUCUUUUUCUGAGAUUUAAACAUCCGGAUAAAGAACUAUAAUUGAAGGUUAAAUGUGAGAGAACCGAACAGUAGUGUCUAUGAGAAGAAUAUUACAGCACUGAUUCUUUUAUAUUUCUGCAAGAUAUAGUGUCUAUGGGCAAUGUGCUCUGCUAGGGCUCAUGAUAGAUGUAGUGUUGCUGUUAAACUGAAAUUUUAAUAUUGCGUUAAAAUGCAGCUGAUGAGGCAGCAAUUGUGGGUGUGAUGCCGUUGCCGAGACAUGUAAAACUGAUAUGUUGCAGUUGUAAUUGCAGUUGCUGACUGUAAUUUAGAACAUGGUAAAUACGCAACAUUGCCAGGAGGGAGUGGAAUGGAUGCAUGUAAAAUGAGAACUAAAAUUUAUUGCACUCCUUUAUUAAGUCUUAAUCUGUAACAAACCACCGCAAAGAGUGUUCCUCAUAAUUUUAAAUAUGCCAAGCAUUCUGUUUUUGCACACGACUGCUGAGAAGUUAGGGAACACUCCGUCCCAAAUAGCCCUUCAAUGGGGACUACAAAUAUGGGUCACAGUGUACUUCGAAAGAGCACAAAUACAGCAAGGAUUAAAGAAAACAUUGAUAUAUUUGACAGGUCUAUAUUAGAUGAUUUGCUUUCCAUCAUCAAUGAGUUUGAGCAGGUAAGUCAUUUCAUGCAAUCUUAUGGUUUCUUUAUAUGUAUAUUAUAGGAAGUAACAAAUUAUUUAUGUCAUAGUUUCAUUUCGAACUUCUCAUUUAUCAACGCAGGUAAGAGUCAUUCCUCGAGAACAACUUGUUUGGUAUACAUCACCUGGUUAUAAAGCGGGAGCCUGGACGCAACGAUAAAGUUGUUGUCACAUGAGUGAUAGUUCACGGGUUCAAGUCUUGGAAACAACUUCUUGUAUAUAUACAGGGUAUGGUUGCGUACAAUACAUUAAAACAAUGAAACCCUUCCCGGACUCUGUGUAUGCAGGAGCAUUAGUGAACCGGACUGCCCUUUUUACAUCUCCCUCCUAGUUACAAAACAAUUGAAGAACUCUGUUAUGAAGAGUAAGAGGCAAGCUCCAUAUGGGCUACUGCGUUUUAACUUUUGAAUGAGCUGACUUUUUUUUAUAGUUGUAACAAUUUAGAAUGUAUUCAUAUGGGAAGUAAGAUGUGUUGUUGAGGAUUUGGUUUUGUGGUGACAGAUUUGGGAUUUAGGGAAUGUUAACUUAUUUGAGCUUAUCUACUGAUAUAAACACUUUAUGAGAGUAUUUUACAAAAAAAAAAAAAAACUAGCUUAGAUGAUCAUAGGGCAGUUAUAAUGAUUAUGCAUCAUUACGACAAGCCAACUAAGUGUUUCAAAUCCUUUAAGUUAAUGAUAACUUCUUGAUUCACUCGAAAAACGUUUAGUCCAACAUGCUUAAUCAAAUCAAAAUGUCAAAUAAUCAAACUUCUUUGACAUACAACAUUGGGGGAGCUGUCACACUCAAAUUUCAAUUAUAUUUCGAGCAAGAAUGUCAAGUAGAAGCAGUUCAAAAGCGAAGAAGUGUCAAAGAAGUCAAGAAAACCAUUAAGAUAACGACCAUUAUUGUUCGAAGAAUUAAAAACGCUACAAACUCCAAAAAUUGUCAUAUGAAGAUUGUUCAAGAAUUUUCAAGAUCAGCAAUGCCAAUUAUUCAUUACAAAGUAGCAAAGAUUCAAAUUCAAAGGGAAGAAACUUUCAAAAGCAGUUCUUGAGAGUUACAAGACACAUGACACGGAAGCAAUUUAGUAAUUAGUUUAUAUUUUUUUUUUCCAUAAACUUUAAAUUUAAACUUCAUGCAAAAGAGUUCAUUUCCAUUUGACAAAACUACACCUCCUGGAAAAUACAUCCACCAUCACAGGAUAACACUCCUACUAAAAUAUUGAAAGAACGAUGUAUGAAACUCAAAUAGAAUAGAACUCAUUUUCCUUUUCGCACACUUUUGCGCUUAUCUUUUUUCCUUUUUGGAUUGAAACAUUUUCCAAUCAACAAUGAAUCUGUAAAGGUACUUUCCAAAUUAAAUUGAUUCUUGUUUUUAAAAAGCAAAUGUACUUUCCUUUAAUUAUAGUAUUUUUACACUCAUGCUCUAUAUUUUUUUCGUUGUUUUUGUUUUCCAUUUGAUGAAGUGAAUGAGUGUACAUAUUUCACUCUUGAUAGUUACCUGAUUAAGACAUUAAUUUUUUCUUUGCAAUUUAAAAUUUUUUCAACACUUGCAACGACCAAAAUAGAAAACACAAACAAAUGCUAAAAAAAAAAUGUGAGCCUUCCCUUGUGGGAGAUAAUAUAGUGGUAAAAUAUCCUUUUCUAAGCUUUGUUCAUGCUCAAUAUGAUUUUAUUUGUCAUAUUGAAUACUUUUCCAUAUGUAUUGCAUCAACAUAUAAUGUAUAUAUUGAGUCUAAUAUCGGAAAAGAACUCGGUUAGAAUUUGAUAGUAUUGUGAAUGGUAUGGUCCAUUAUAACUCUAUAUAUAAGAUAUAAUAUGUACUAUCAAUGACCAUACCAUCAAUGAUAAUUGAAAUUUACUAUCAUGUUAUAACACAAGACAAUUUCCCUCUAUUAAUUAUGAUAUAUAAAGCCUAUGUUGACAUUAAACAUUAAGAAAAUUAUUCAAAAGACAGAUAAAUUCUCUGAGUUUGAAUAAAUCGUAAUAUCUCGCCUCUAAAGUUGUCUUCUCUAAUAAGAUAGGAGGCUCGCAUUUCUCGUGAGCAUUGAUUUUCAUUCUCUAUUUUGGUCGCUGAAAGUGCUGCAUACAUGUCAAAUUAUUAAGAACAAAGUAAUGUCUUAAUUAGGCAAACAGAAGUAACAAGAACACUAUUCACUAUAUCAAAAGGAAAACUAAAAUGCAAGAGGGAUAAAACACGAAUGUAAAUAGACUAUAAAUGCAAACAAGGUCAUUUGUUUCUUAAAAACAAAGUUAAGUUAAUUUUGAAACAUGAAAGUGAAAAUGAUGAAGGUAAAAAAGAGAGUCGUACUUUUAUAAGCACAUUUACUUUUGAUACAAAAAGAUGUAGGCAUUUAAUAGUUCCAUUGGAAAAAUAAAACGUAUAAGAACUACAUGAGAUGAACAGGUGAUAGAGGAAAUUUUUUGGAGUUAGGGUAGCUCAAUUGAUAAGGAGUUGCAUCUUAUGGAUUCAAACCGGAACAAAGGAGUAAAUAUUAAUCUAACUAGGCAACAUUCACGUAAGGAUACAAUAGAGUAUUAGAACAAGUUAUAGAAAAAUGCCAAAAACUAGAGGAAUCAAUUGUCCGCAAAUGGAACUGAGAAGUGAAAAUCACUUGAUAGAAAAGCAAAGAAAAUCUAAGAAAUGAAGACAUGCGAUGCGAGUACCUGACAAAGAAGAAGAUCAAAGCCCUUAUAACCAGAAAAGAUGAUUCAAACAAUUCUUGUUCAAAUAAGUUAUUGCAAACUGAAACAAAACUAACGAUUUAUAAAUGUUGAUCACAUCAACAUCAAACAAAUUUAACCAAAUGCAGAAAUAGAGUAUAGACAAAUCAAUAAAAAGAUAUCUUCACUUAAUUUGUUUUAUCAAAUAAUCAAUAAAAAUAGAGUAUAGACAAAUCUAAACAAAAGAUUGAUCAAAAAUAAUUUUAUCAGAGAUCAGAGAUAUGCAUUGAAAACCAUACCUUCAAAGAAAAGAAAUUUCAAUUUGUCAUCGUAUCUAAAAAUAAAAAGAGGAUGAGGAAAUGGAAAGAGCUCUUGUUUGGUUCCUCCUUUUCACCAUUUUCAAAUGCCCUUCUAAAACUCUGUUUGAACCUCUUUUUAUUGCCAAUUUUUCAACAUUGGAUGCUUUUGUUGUGCAAGCAUAUGCAGUGUAAUGGUCCUUGUGUGGCUAAGAAUGGCAAAAUUAAAAACUAACCAAAAGUUAAAUUGGCUUGCAUCAAAAAAUAGCAAUGUUGCCUUUUUUUCUUCAUGUAUUUUAUGAUUUUUUAUGAAAGUACUCUACAACUUUUUUUAGGUAGCGCUACGAUUGACAACAUAGGUUAAGAUGGGUAUUGGAAUAAAUUUUAAACUUAGAAUUAUGAUUUUGACAUGAUCAAUGAGGAUAAGUUGCUGUGGAAAAAGCCGGCAGGUAUAAAUGUAAUAUAUAUUGAUGCAUAAUUUUUUUCGUUGCUUAACAAAGUAGGAUUGGAAAUGUGCAUCAGGAAUGAUGCUAGUGAAUUUGUGCGGGCUAAAACGGAUUGGUUUGCUCCCCUGUGUGAUGUUGAUGUAGGGAAAGCCAUUGGUUUACACACAACUCUGCAAUGGGUCUCGGACCUUCAAUUCGACAACGUAGACUUUGCUCUGGAUUCUAAAAAAGUUGUUGAUCAUGUUAAUUCUGAUAUAGAUGAUAAUAGUGAGUUUGGUUGUAUAAUUUCUGCUUGUAGACAAUUGUUACAAAAUAGAUUUCAGAACUCUCAUGUCGAUUUCAAUAAGAGGUAAGUAAAUGGGGUCGCUCACGAGUUAGCUCAGACAGCCCUGCUAACUCCUAGAUCCCAUAUUUCAAUAGAUGAUGCUCCUUCAUGUAUUUGACACAUUUUAGCUAUUGAAAUGCAAUGUAUUUCUUCUUUCAAAAAAAAUUAUUGACAUGUCAAUCCUUUUAUAAAAAGAGUUAAUGUCAAUAUUGAGGGACAUAUUAUUUUAAUACUUAUGACUAUUUUGAUUAAUAAAGUGCACAAUAGAAAAAAAUAUCUUGAAAUUCCGAUACAUUGAGAAACCAUUUUGGCCACUUGUUAUACAUUCAGAAACAAAAUGAUUAUUAUCCCUUUAUUUUAUAUAAUUUUUUUAGGGAAAUCCCUUUAUUUUAUAUCAAAAAAUGACUUUAAUUUUAUAUUUUGAAAAAAUAAUUUUAAUGAGUAAGUUCUCGUUUAAACUAUUUUUUCCCUCAAAAAAGAUAAUUUUAAUGCAAACUUAUUAAAAAUAGUUGAAACUAUUUCCGACCCACUUAAAACAUAUAUGCCUCUGAAAUUCAGAUAUAUAUAUAUAUAUAUAUAUAUAUAUAUAUAUAAAAGAAAAAUAUAAUAUAUCAAAUUGUUGUAAAGUUUGAUCGUAAAACAAGAAGUGACUACUUGUUUGAUGUGGCAAAAUGGAUUUUAGAUCUUGGAUAGACUCUAAUACCAGCUUAUAAUUAUCAUUUUGAUGUUCCCGAUUGCAUUCUUUAGGUGCACUGAUCACUUACCAGAGGAUGUCCCUAAGGCAUUUGAUAGAUCUUUACGGGAUUUGCCGUUGAACUAUUUAUAUCUCUACCUUGUGUGUAAAUGAAAAUGAAAUUGAACUUCUUCCUAUAUCAAAUCCGAUUAUGUCUUUAAUUAAGAAUUCCUUUGUCAAGUUCUUUUAUUAAGAAUUCCUUUGUGAUAUGUCUAUAUUCUUCUAUAUUCACAGGCCAGGAAGCAUGAAAUAUUUGUCAUAUUGGAGCAUGGAUUGGGCGGCAAAUUAUCUACUGAAAUAUUUCCUAGCUAAUUUGCCACUAUUAUUUCUAAACUCCUAGCUAAUCCCAACUAAUAUGUAGCCAAAUCAUGGUUAAAAGUUUGUUUCGUAACCAAUUGGCUAUGCUAUAGUCGCAAACAAAUCAAAGUAAAUCUCUAGCUAAAGUUCCUAGCUAUUUCGAUGUUCUUGAUUAUUAUUUUGCCAUUGACACCCAAGUGUUCUCUUCGGAUCCUCUUAUGCAGUCCACAACCUUCACAUCCUCCACUUUCUUCCACAUUGAGAAUACCAUGACAGUUGAAUUAUGCAGUGUAGCUUUAUGCACUUUACUAUUUCAAUCCUGCUGAUCGUCUAUGCAACAUUGCAAACCUGUUCAACCAUGACAUGUAUUGAUAAAUAAAUAUAUUAUGAAUAUUAAAGCAUCACAUCCAAGCUGAUUCUUCCUAGUUCUAACAAACCAUAGGUUCCAGCAUCAAAAGAUCAAUUUAUAACCAUAACUUACAUACUUUUCUUUGAGAGGAACAAGACACAUACUUGUACGGAGUGCAAUGCGUCACCUCAUGCAUCUACGCACGAGUGUCAUAAUAGAGAGAUUAUUUAAAUUUAACACUUUAGCAACCUAUCCUAAAAAAGCAUCUAUGAUAUUUUGUGUACACACAUGUAUCCAAUUUUGAAAUUUUAUACAUAUACUAUAUUUUUACUUAUAUAUCAUUACGGAGACUUACUCUUGUAUAAUUUAUAUUCAACAAUUAUAACAUUGGACAUGACAUGUAGUAACAAGAAAGAAGGUUCCUUUUCUAUUGAAAUUUUUGUGUAGUCGACAAUGAUGUUACUCGGUUUAGAUCGAUGGUGGCAUUUAGGUUGGGAAAGCAUAAAACUAUCCCAGCAUUGGAUGCCUCUGUGUGCAAUGUUGUUGCAGAAAAAUCGGAGACCAAAUAGUGCAAACAUGUGCAGGCUAGUUGUGCUUGAGUAGGUAAAAAUUACAAAAUGAAAAAAACUACCCAAAAGUUAAAUUGGCUUGUAUAAAAAAAUAGCAAAAGUAGAGUGAAUUAACAAAUUUUCCCAUUUUUCUUUAUUUUUUGUAAAUUAUUAUUUUUAAUAUAAAUGUUAGGAGUGAGUAAAAUUAAUAGGCUUAGUGAUUUAAACCUUUUUUUUAGUCCGAAGAUGAAGUGGAACACACAAUAUGAAACUCACACACACAACUCGGUCCCGAAUUCGAACCUGAGAUGAUGUUCAGCCUACCAUAUCAGCAUUGUUUGUUGAGUUAGGUAUUAUGGCUGAUUUAACCUUCUUUAUUAUUGAUAAAAAAAAAAAAAAAAAACCACUACCAAAGGAAAAUAAUUUAUUUUGCAAUGGUAGUGCUAUGAUUGACAACAUAGGUUAAUUUGGGUAUUUGAAUAGCAUUUUGAAGUUAGCAUUGACAUGAUCAAACAUGAUAAGUUUCUCACAAUGACCUUUUUAUUUUGAUCUUUAAAUUAUUAGGUAAAUUUAGUGCAUUGGUAAAUCACUUAAAUGUGUUGAGUCAAUAUAGAAAAGAAGCUAUUUUGAUUAUGAAAAUUCAAGCUCAAUAACUCCAAGAUUGUUAUUACAAAUGUACUUUCAAUUUUUGUUAAACCUAUAAGAUUGUAAAAAAAUUAACCCAACAAGUAAAAAUAGAGAUAAAGCUGAAAACUUCAAUGCUUGAGCAGCGAAAGAAAUUUACCGCCACAUUCGAAUUGGUUUCCGCUCCCAUAUCUGAAUUUAGCAGCUCCAUUGGCAAUCUUGAAACCGAAAUUAGUCAAUUACCGUUGAGAAGAGGCAUUGAAUAAGACUAAACAAAGCCUUGUAAAGAGAUUAUGCCUGAUCAAAAACAGGGAAAAUGUAAUCUGUAAACUGGAUUGCAGCUAUGGCUCGAUUUCGUUGCUUUGUAAAACAUAUAAGCCUUUUAAAUUCAGAUAUAUAAAGAAAAAUAUAUUAGACUCAUCAUAUUAGAUCAAUUCCGAGAAAUACUCUUCCUCUCCCUCUCCAACAAGCCGGCCCUAAUUUUCUCUCUCUAGGUUUUUUCUUCCGGUUUCUUCAUUGGGGGUGGUUUUGGGUCAAUUCUUGAUCUGAAAUCACCUCUCUUCAUCUUUUUAUCUGUAUUUCAAUCUAAAUAAGUGACUUUUACAUAGAUCCAUGUUUUUUUUCUUUGUGAUUUCAUCAUCUAAGUGUGGUGGUUUGUUGUUCGUCGUCUUGUGCGGCGUUGUUUGCUUUCCUGUCUUCUUGCAGUGUUCAUUUUAUUCCUAUUGAAAGAUCGAUUAUUCAAUCAAAGGUUUGGGCGUCAACGUUGCAGAUCCGGAGGCCAUGGAUAUUCCGGUGACUUUAAUUUUAUCAUAUAUUUUUGUAGGUAUUAUGCCGUUAUAUGCUAUUAACUUGGAUGCUAUGAGUUUGUUCACAGAUUCAUCCUUCACAUUUUUAACGGUGUUGAAUGAUGUAACCUCUCAAUUUAAAUGAAUGAAUAUCAUUUUGUUUUUAAAAAAAAACCCAAAUCAAUUUCUAUAUUAAAUAUGAUAUAUACAUACUAUGUUGACAUUGAACAUCCAAAUAAUUAUCAAAAUGACAUAUAAAUUACCAUUGAGUUUGAAUAAAUCUUAAAAGAAAUUAUAGAAUGUCUUGCCUCUAAAGUUGUCUUCUCUAUCAUGAUAGGAGGCUCACUUUUCAAGAGCAUUUGUUUUUGUUCUCUAUUUUGGUUGCCGAAAGUGCUAUUGAGAUUGAACAAUUCUUAAACAAAGUAAUGUCUUAGUUAGGCAACCGUAAAGCUUUGUUUGAGAGUUAAAAGGGAAGAGAGAGGAGGGAGGGGAGGGUUUUGGAGAGAUGAGAUUAGAGAAAAAAAAAUAGAGAAAUCUUUAAAAUUAUUUGAAAAAGUAUUUUUGUAGUGGAUGAUAAAUUAAUGCUUGAUUAAUGUAUUUUUAAUUUUGCAAGUAUUAUAACAAUAUAGACCGGAUUUGAAAAAUUUAUUCAAACCUUCGGAACCCCUCCUCCAAUACAAUUCUUUUGUUUCCACAAAAUAGGGGGAUUUUAUAUUACGAAGAAAAUUAAACCCCUGAAAGUCCUCCCUCCCAAAGCUCUCCAUUCUUUCCACUUCUUCCCUCCUUUAUUUCCAAACCCUCCCCUCCCCUUCAAACUUUCAAUCAGAGUCGUGCGUUUGAUUUGCUAAAAAAUGAAGGACAGGAUAGAACAACUUUUGUUGUCCAGUGUUUGAUUUGUAAAACUGUUUCAGGUACUGGACAAACGGGAGGCAAUUGACAGGACAAAAACUCAUAAUUUUGUCCCUCGCCAAACCACAACACAACUUUUUAAAGCCAAAAUCCAAUAGGGAUAAAGCAAUAAUGUAAACAUGCUAUAAUUCAAACAAGGUCAUUUGUUUUUUUAAAACAUAGUUAAGUUAAUUUUGAAACAUGAAAGUGAAAAUAAUGAAUGUAAAAAAGAGAGAAGUACUUUUACAUACACAUUUAUUAUAGAUACAAAAAAUGUACAAAUGAAUCAACACAUCCGAAUAUCAAUUAUUCAUUACUUGAAAAAUACCUCAAAUUUAGAUCAGAAUUAAUAUGUUGAUGCAAAUUAUAAAACCAUAAACAGUUUAUAUAGUGUGGAAAAUAAUUUACUAAAACAACAUUCAAAAUGCAAAAUAACAAACUCACUUGGAUUUGUCUGGUGGUAUUAACUUAACUUUGAGAAAUUAUGAAGUAUGUUUCUCUUCAAAGUCUCAGGUUCGAUUCUUUCCAAUACCAAUUUGAAUGAGCUAGUUUAGCUUCUUAAAAAAAAAAUCAAAAUAACAGUCUCUCUUUCAACAAAACAAUACUCUAAUAGAGUAGUACCCAACUGAAUGGUUUGUGCUUCCAGCAUGGUAGCUGAAAAAAGAUGAAGUGGUGAUUUCAUCGACUAAAAAAUGACAUAUUUAAUCAACAACAAGGAACAUAUUUAAGAGGUUGAAUAAAAAGAUAAGCUAGACAUAAUUUGUCCACUAGCAUUUUGUUUUUGUUGGUAAAGUAGCAAUAUUAAUUAUGUUCGCUCUCAAGUUGUGGUGUUGGUCUUGCAUCAGUCCAAGAUACAAACAAUCCAAGUAAAUACUUAAUUCAACUAUAAACUAUAAAUCUUACUACCAAAUCAAUCUAAGAGAUACUAUAUGUCAACUAUUUGAAGUAGUUGAGUGAUUAGUUUCCUUUACCUCAAGGUAAACAACUCAACUUUGGUUUUUCAUUCUUUUUUAAUAUUUGCUGCAAACAAUAAAAAAUAUACAAAUGCAUUUAAUAGUUCCAUUGGAAAAAUAAAACGUAUAAGAACUACACCCUCCACUCACUAUUAUAGCAAAAAACAACAUUUUAGAUUCAUUUAAUGAUGUAUUUGAUCUUUAUUAUAGACUACAUACAUCAUUAAAUGAAUGAAUUCAAAAUGUUGAUUUUUGCUUAUAAUAGUGACCGGAGGAUGUAGUUCAACGAAUAUUAGAACAAGUUAUAGAAAAAUGCCAUAAAUUUAGAGGAAUCAAAUGCUUGAAAAUGGAAUAAUGUGAGCAUAAAAACAAAGAAAGAAAAAUGAAAAGAGGAUGAGAAAAUUGAAAGAAAUCUAUGUUUGAAUCUCUUUUAAUGCCAAAUCUUCUGCUCUUUCAACAUUGGAUGCCUUUGUGGUACAAGCAUGUGCAGUGUAAUGGUCCUUGUGUGGUUAGGAAUUGCAAAACAAAAAACUACCGAAAAGUUAAAUUGGCUUGCAUAAAAAAAUAGCAAAGAAGCCUUUUUUAUUUUUUAUUUUAUGAUUUAUAAUGUAAACGUUAAGAGCCACCCAAAUUAAUGAUCUUUGUGAUUUAACCUCCAUUAUCUUGAUGAAAUUACAUCACAACAUGCAUAAGCAAGAGAGACGCCACACUCUUACCCAAAAUCUUAAGAUAAUGGAUUUAUGAGUCCUCUUACUUAUAAGAUAUUCAACCUUUACUAUUUUAUCGGAUGUGAGACAUAUAACUCACAUUUGCAAACUAACAUUUAUUUGAACUUUUAAAUAUUAGGUGAUUAAGUUAUUUUCGAAUCAGUCCUAUCUAAAAAGAGUUAAUGUCAAUUUUGAAGGACAAACUAUAUUAACGUCUGGAUUAUUUUGACUAAUAAAGUUUACAAAAUGACUAUUAUCCCUUUAUUUUAUUUUAAAAAAUGACUUUAAUUUUAUAUUAAAAAAUAAUAAUGCGUAAGUUCUGAAAAGUUGAAAUAUUUUUAAGUAAAAAAAUAAUGAAUAAAAAGUUGGAAUAUUUUAAUUUUGAAAAUUUUGGAAGGACUACAAUCAAAACAAUGAGGAUCAAAAUAAAAUAUGCCUAUUUUCAUGGAUUGAAACCAGCAAUAAUUCUUUUGAAGAGGAGUAAAACCAAAAUAGAUGUAUAUUAUAGGAACUAACAAAUUAUGUAAGCCAUAGUCUUAUUUACCGAUGCAAGAAAGAGUAUUUCUUGGAGAACUAUUUGUUGUUAGUCAGAUACUGACAUGUGUCGAAUAUCGCACACGUUAUUGGUUAAAAAUGUUGGUGCUGCAUUGAUUUAAACAAAGUUUUCAUGAUAUUUGAGUUAAGUAUUUAUUUAUCAACUCCAACAAACAACUUGGCAUUUUAUAUUUAGAAAAAAAUAAUAAUAAUAGAAUCCAUGAACUUGCAUACUUGAAUUGACUUUCUUUGUCUCUACCUCUGGUCUGGGUCUGAGGUUGAAUUCUGUUCAAUCAUCACAACAGAAAAAUGGAAAGUGAGGAACUGAGAUUCUUUGAGUUAAACACAGGAGCUAAGAUUCCAUCUGUUGGUUUAGGCACUUGGCUUGCUGAACCUGGUGUUGUCUAUGAUGCUAUUUCCACUGCUGUCAAUGUUUCUUUCUUUCUAAUUUUUCAAUCCAUUCUUUUCUUUGUAUUAUUACUAUUAUUAUUGUAAAUUUAUGAAAUGAUUUAUUAUAUUAUGGUUUUGGAAUUGUUAUUAUGUUAAUGUAGGUUGGAUAUCGUCAUAUAGAUUGUGCUCAAUAUUAUGGCAAUGAAAAGGAGGUGAGGUGUUAUGUAUCAUUAGUCCUAUCAAUGUCAAUAUCGUGUCUGAUGUCCGUGUUUGUGUCCAUGCUUCAUAGAAUACAUCUGUCCAUCAUGUUUU
rnacentral:lncRNA from 1 species